rnacentral:rRNA from 1 species
GGUCUUGCCUGCCCAGUGACAAUGUUAAACGGCCGCGGUAUUUUGACCGUGCGAAGGUAGCGCAAUCACUUGUCUUUUAAAUGAAGACCUGUAUGAAUGGUGAAACGAGGGCUUAACUGUCUCCCUUUUCUAGUCAAUGAAAUUGAUCUGCCCGUGCAGAAGCGGACAUAAAAAUACAAGACGAGAAGACCCUUUGGAGCUUAAGAUAUAAAGAUCAUCUAUGUCAAUGGGCCCCAACACGGCAACAAACUAAAUAGCAACUGAUCUUAAUCUUCGGUUGGGGCGACCACGGGAGAAAAUAAAGCUCCCACGCGGACUGGGGUAAACCCUAAAACCAAGAAAAACAUUUCUAAGCAACAGAACUUCUGACCAUUAAGAUCCGGCUACACGCCGACCAACGGACCAAGUUACCCUAGGGAUAACAGCGCAAUCCCCUUUCAGAGUCCAUAUCGACAAGGGGGUUUACGACCUCGAUGUUGGAUCAGGACAUCCUAAUGGUGCAGCCGCUAUUAAGGGUUCGUUUGUUCAACGAUUAAAGUCCUACGUGAUCUGAGUUCAGACCGG